CUCAAAGUGACAGCAGUUGUGCAAUGUAAAUAAUUUUAGUAUUGAAAUUUAUGAAAAAGACAUCAGAGUGGCUUUUAAAUAAUAUCUGAAAGAUUUACGAAGUAAAAAGUCAGCAUGGACAGGGCAUACUAUUUUGUCGACAAGGUACUACUAAUUAAAUGCAAUAUUACCAAUGAUUAAAAAGGUUGAUGGUGUUGCAAACACAGUUACUGUAAAUAAAGAAAAUAAAAAGAUUCAAAACCUUUGAAGUGUCUACAAUAAGGAGGGGAACAAGAGAGAAAUGUCUAUGUCUGCACAGACAAUGUUUACAACCACAGAGCUGUGAUAUUUCUACAUGUAUUGUUGUGAAAAUGGUUAAACAAUUAAAUGAUUAAACAUGUAUAAAAUGCAUCCCUGUUAAUGAUCAGUUAUACCAUAAUAAAAAUCAGCAAACCUUCGAAGCGUCUACAAUAAGGAGGUGAACAAGAUAGAAAUGUCUAUGUCUGCACAGGCAUUGUCUACAAGCCACAGCUGUAAUACUUAAACAUGCUGUGAUAUUUCAGCAUGUAUUGACGUGAUAACAGUUAAACCAUUAAAUAGUUAAACAUGUAUAAAGAGCAUCCUGGUUUAUGGUCAGUCACAGGUGUUAAGGUGUACCAUAAUAAAAAUCAGCAAACCUUUGAAGUGUCUAUGAUAAGGAGGUGAACAAGAUAGAAAUGUCUAUGUCUGCACAGAGAAUGUCUACAAGCCACAGUUGUAAUAUUUCAAUGAAAUGCUUAAAUGGUUAAACAUGUACCUAGACCAGCUUUGUUUGUGUUCAUUUACGGACAAGGCGUACCAUAAGGAGAUAUUUUGAAUUUGGAAGCAGAAGGCG